ACUGAACGCUGGCGGCAGGCUUAACACAUGCAAGUCGAACGAUGAAACUCUAGCUUGCUAGAGAAGAUUAGUGGCGGACGGGUGAGUAACAUUUAGGAAUCUGCCUAGUAGUGGGGGAUAGCUCGGGGAAACUCGAAUUAAUACCGCAUACGACCUACGGGUGAAAGGGGGCGCAAGCUCUUGCUAUUAGAUGAGCCUAAAUCAGAUUAGCUAGUUGGUGGGGUAAAGGCCUACCAAGGCGACGAUCUGUAACUGGUCUGAGAGGAUGAUCAGUCACACCGGAACUGAGACACGGUCCGGACUCCUACGGGAGGCAGCAGUGGGGAAUAUUGGACAAUGGGGGCAACCCUGAUCCAGCCAUGCCGCGUGUGUGAAGAAGGCCUUUUGGUUGUAAAGCACUUUAAGCAGGGAGGAGAGGCUAAUGGUUAAUACCCAUUAGAUUAGACGUUACCUGCAGAAUAAGCACCGGCUAACUCUGUGCCAGCCGCCGCGGUAAUACAGAGGGUGCGAGCGUUAAUCCGAAUUACUGGGCGUAAAGCCAGUGGAAGUGGCUCAUUAAGUCACAUGUGAAAUCCCCGGGCUUAACCUGGGAACUGCAUGUGAUACUGGUGGUGCUAGAAUAUGUGAGAGGGAAGUAGAAUUCCAGGUGUAGCGGUGAAAUGCGUAGAGAUCUGGAGGAAUACCGAUGGCGAAGGCAGCUUCCUGGCAUAAUAUUGACACUGAGAUUCGAAAGCGUGGGUAGCAAACAGGAUUAGAUACCCUGGUAGUCCACGCCGUAAACGAUGUCUACUAGCCGUUGGGGUCCUUGAGACUUUAGUGGCGCAGUUAACGCGAUAAGUAGACCGCCUGGGGAGUACGGCCGCAAGGUUAAAACUCAAAUGAAUUGACGGGGGCCCGCACAAGCGGUGGAGCAUGUGGUUUAAUUCGAUGCAACGCGAAGAACCUUACCUGGUCUUGACAUAGUGAGAAUCCUGCAGAGAUGCGGGAGUGCCUUCGGGAACUCACAUACAGGUGCUGCAUGGCUGUCGUCAGCUCGUGUCGUGAGAUGUUGGGUUAAGUCCCGCAACGAGCGCAACCCUUUUCCUUAUUUGCCAGCGGGUUAAGCCGGGAACUUUAAGGAUACUGCCAGUGACAAACUGGAGGAAGGCGGGGACGACGUCAAGUCAUCAUGGCCCUUACGACCAGGGCUACACACGUGCUACAAUGGUAGGUACAGAGGGUUGCUACACAGCGAUGUGAUGCUAAUCUCAAAAAGCCUAUCGUAGUCCGGAUUGGAGUCUGCAACUCGACUACAUGAAGCUGGAAUCGCUAGUAAUCGUAGAUCAGCAUGCUACGGUGAAUACGUUCCCGGGUCU
rnacentral:rRNA from 1 species